rnacentral:rRNA from 1 species
UACAGAGACUGCAAGCGUUAUUCGGAUUCACUGGGCGUAAAGGGUGCGCAGGCGGCCAAGUGUGUCAGGUGUGAAAUCCCGGGGCUUAACUCCGGAACUGCGCCUGAAACUACUUGGCUAGAGCAUUGGAGAGGGAAGUGGAAUUCACGGUGUAGCAGUGAAAUGCGUAGAUAUCGUGAGGAACACCAGAGGCGAAGGCGACUUCCUGGACAAUUGCUGACGCUCAGGCACGAAAGCGUGGGGAGCCAAA